rnacentral:tRNA from 1 species
AAAAUCCGUCGACUUUCUAAGUCGUGAGGG